GACGAACGCUGGCGGCGUGCCUAACACAUGCAAGUCGAGCGGAGGAUGCGGCGUAGUAAUACAAAGUACUUUAGCGGCGGACGGGUGAGUAACACGUGGGUAACCUGCCUCAGAGUGGGGGAUAGCCUUUCGAAAGGAAGAUUAAUACCGCAUAAGAUUGUAGCGUCACAUGGCGCAGCAAGAAAAGGAGCAAUCCGCUUUGAGAUGGACCCGCGGCGCAUUAGCUAGUUGGUGAGGUAACGGCUCACCAAGGCCACGAUGCGUAGCCGACCUGAGAGGGUGAUCGGCCACAUUGGAACUGAGACACGGUCCAGACUCCUACGGGAGGCAGCAGUGGGGAAUAUUGCACAAUGGGCGAAAGCCUGAUGCAGCAACGCCGCGUGAGUGAUGAAGGCCUUCGGGUCGUAAAGCUCUUUGAUCAGGGAUGAUAAUGACAGUACCUGAAAAACAAGCCACGGCUAACUACGUG
rnacentral:rRNA from 1 species